CUAUCACUAACUAGAGGUUUACUAACACUAACUAGAGGUUUACAAACACUAACUAGAGGUUUACUAUCACUAACUAGAGGUUUACUAACACUAACUAGAGGUUCACUGAACACUAACUAGAGGUUUACUAUCACUAACUAGAUGUUUACUAA